rnacentral:rRNA from 1 species
GACGAACGCUGGCGGCGUGCUUAACACAUGCAAGUCGAGCGGUAAGGCCCUUUCGGGGGUACACGAGCGGCGAACGGGUGAGUAACACGUGGGUGACCUGCCCUCAGCUCUGGGAUAAGCCUGGGAAACUGGGUCUAAUACUGGAUAUGACUCCACGGUGCAUGUCGUGGGGUGGAAAGCCUUGUGCGGCUGAGGAUGGGCCCGCGGCCUAUCAGCUUGUUGGUGGGGGAUGGCCUACCAAGGCGACGACGGGUAGCCGGCCUGAGAGGGCGACCGGCCACACUGGGACUGAGACACGGCCCAGACUCCUACGGGAGGCAGCAGUGGGGAAUCUUGCGCAAUGGGCGAAAGCCUGACGCAGCGACGCCGCGUGAGGGAUGACGGCCUGGUUGUAAC